rnacentral:rRNA from 1 species
CAACACAGCCAUUUCACCCUGUAGCCCAGGACCGGUUAAUUACUGAAGCUAAGUAGGGCUGUGCCAGGUCAGUACCUGGAUGGGAGACCACAUGGGAGAGCUAGGUUGCUGUUGG